rnacentral:rRNA from 1 species
UACGUAGGAGGCAAGCGUUGUUCGGAAUUACUGGGCGUAAAGCGCGUGUAGGCUGCUUCGCAAGUCGGGUGUGAAAGCCCUGGGCUCAACCUAGGAAGUGCACUCGAAACUGCGAAGCUGGAGUCCUGGAGAGGAAGGCGGAAUUCUCGGUGUAGAGGUGAAAUUCGUAGAUAUCGAGAGGAACACCGGUGGCGAAGGCGGCCUUCUGGACAGUGACUGACGCUGAGACGCGAAAGCGUGGGGAGCAAACAGG